AUUGAACGCUAGCGGCAGGCCUAACACAUGCAAGUCGAGCGAGCGGCGGACGGGUGAGUAAUGUAUGGGGACUGCCCGCUAGAGGGGGAUAACUACUGGAAACGGUGGCUAAUACUGCACACUGUCGGAUAACCCAUAGGGGAUUAGCUGGUAGGUAAGGUACUGGCUUACCUAGGCGACGAUCCCUAGCUGGUCUGAGAGGAUGAUCAGCCACACUGGGACUGAGACAUGGCCCAGACUCCUACGGAGGCAGCAGUGGGGAAUAUUGCACAAUGGGCGCAAGCCUGAUGCAGCCAUGCCGCGUGUAUGAAGAAGGCCCUAGGGUUGUAAAGUACUUUCAGUAGGGAGGCGUUACCGACAGAAGAAGCACCGGCUAACUCCGUGCCAGCAGCCGAGGUAAUAC
rnacentral:rRNA from 1 species